GAUUAUGGCUCAGGAUGAACGCUAGCGGCAGGCUUAACACAUGCAAGUCGAGGGGCAGCGCGAGGUAGCAAUACUUGGCGGCGACCGGCGAAAGGGUGCGUAACGCGUGAGCAACUUGCCCGUAUCUGGGACAUAAGCGGUGGAAACGCCGUCUAAUUUCCCAUAACAACAGAGGCCGCAUGACUUCUGUUUGAAAGAUCCGUCGGAUACGGAUGGGCUCGCGAGACAUUAGCUAGUCGGCGUGGUAACGGCACACCGAGGCGACGAUGUCUAGGGGUUCUGAGAGGAAGGUCCCCCACACUGGAACUGAGACACGGUCCAGACUCCUACGGGAGGCAGCAGUGAGGAAUAUUGGUCAAUGGGCGGAAGCCUGAACCAGCCAUGCCGCGUGAAGGAAAUAAGGCCCUAUGGGUCGUAAACUUCCUUUGUGGUGGAGCAAUAAGGUGUACGUGUACACCGAUGAGAGUACAUCACGAAUAAGCAUCGGCUAACUCCGUGCCAGCCGCCGC
rnacentral:rRNA from 1 species